rnacentral:sRNA from 1 species
UUAGUUUUCUAUGUUUGCUCUUACGAGCUAUCGGAGGGGAUGGUUAAUUGCGUUGCCGCUGGCAACGACCCGAAGGGCGAAGCGCGCAGCGCUGAGUCAUCCUUCCCCCACCACCA